rnacentral:misc_RNA from 1 species
AUAUCAUAAAAAAGUGAAAGAAUGAGGAAACACUUGCAAACAGAACUCGAUCAGGUCGACCAAAGAAAUUGACUGGAAGAGGAGAAAGUUAUCAUUCGCGAAUUAAAAACAAACCCUACUACACCCGUUCCUUAACUCGCAAAGUACCGCGAAAGAAGCCAUAUAUUAAUGCGGUAAAUCAUAAAAAAAGAUUGACUUUUGCAAAAACCUAUAUUAAUAAAGACGAUUCCUUUUGGAACAAAGUCAUCUUUUCGGACAAGUGAAAGUUUAACAUUUUUGGCUCUGAUUGUUAAAAUUAUAUGUGGAGAAACCCAAAUAUGAAAUUGGAAAUUCAACAUUUACAUCGAAGAGUGAAACACGAAGGUGGAUCAGUCAUGGUGUGGGGGUGCAUGGCUGCCAGUGACACUGGAAAUUUGAUAUUUAUUGAUGGAAUACUUGAUAAGUAUAAUCUGAGAGCAAGUAUUGAAAGAUACAAGUUAUAGAAAUAUGGAACUCCGUUGAGUGUAGUUUUACAAAAUCAUUGGUUUACAGUAUGGAGUGUCGAUUGAGACACACUAUUGCUCCUAAAGGUGGUCCAACAAAAUAUUAAUAUUAAAUGAUUUAAUAAUAUAUGUAGUGUCUAAAUGCUUUUGCUAGUCACUUGCAAUGUGUGUUUCUAAUAAAUGUAUAGCAACUCCCACCUACGUUGUCGAAUCCUUUUCAAAUUUUACUGACAUAAUCUUAAGACCUUCAUCUUCCUAUUGACAUCUGCUUGUCUAAGCAAAUUACUCUAAUGUACAUUAUUUAGGUCAUUCAAGUUUGCAUACCAGGUAUGUAAAUAUGAAUUUACAUUUUUGUAUAGAAU